rnacentral:rRNA from 1 species
GAUGAACGCUGGCGGCGUGCUUAACACAUGCCAGUCGAACGAUGAACCUCACUUGUGGGGGGAUUAGUGGCGAACGGGUGAGUAACACGUGAGUAACCUGCCCUUGACUCUGGGAUAAGCCUGGGAAACCGGGUCUAAUACUGGAUACGACCUUCUGGCGCAUGCCAUGUUGGUGGAAAGCUUUUGUGGUUUUGGAUGGACUCGCGGCCUAUCAGCUUGUUGGUGGGGUAAUGGCCUACCAAGGCGACGACGGGUAGCCGGCCUGAGAGGGUGACCGGCCACACUGGGACUGAGACACGGCCCAGACUCCUACGGGAGGCAGCAGUGGGGAAUAUUGCACAAUGGGCGCAAGCCUGAUGCAGCGACGCCGCGUGAGGGAUGAAGGCCUUCGGGUUGUAAACCUCUGUCAGUAGGGAAGAAGCCGGCUUUUGGGUUGGUGACGGUACCUGCAGAAGAAGCGCCGGCUAACUACGUG